rnacentral:misc_RNA from 1 species
GAUGAAGAACGUAGCGAAAUGCGAUACGUAAUGUGAAUUGCAGAAUUCAGUGAAUCAUCGAAUCUUUGAACGCAUAUUGCGCUCUCUGGUAUUCCGGAGAGCAUGCUUGUUUGAGUAUCAGUAAACACCUCAACUUCUAUAUCUUUUUUGAAAUGGGAGUUGGACUUGAGUGAUCCCAACGCUUUUCCUCACCGAAAAGUGGCGGGUUACUUGAAAUGCAGGUGCAGCUGGACUUUUCUCUGAGCUAUAAGCAUAUCUAUUUAGUCUGCCUAAAAAACAGAUUAUUACCUUUGCUGCAGCUAACAUAAAGGAGAUUAGUUCUUGUGCUGACUGAUGCAGGAUUCACAAAGACAGGCUUCGGCCGACUUUGUAAACUCGAUCUCAAAUCAAGUAAGACUACCCGCUGAACUUAAGCAUAUCAAUAAGGGGAGGA